AGAAGAAGCAAGGAAUGUCUUCCUCACACUGGAUUAAUACUUGAAGGUGCCUCUGAACUGGUGUGCCGGCAACAGCGCGUGCUGGGCUAUGAUGGUGGACAAAAGUGAAUAAGCAAGGAGUGGGCCGAGAAGCACAGCUUAUCCUGGAAGUGCCAUGUCAGACCCUAGGAUACAGGGUACCUGAUGUGGUGCGGAUCAGUACCAUGAAUGGGAUUGGGCUUGUCUCAUACCCAUGCAUCAUGUAACAAGUCAUAUAGGCUCAAAACUAGUCGGAAUGGAUAGGAACCACCUGGGUAGUACUCGAAUAAGUUGCUAGGCCCACACCGACUUAGGGUUUCCCUGUAACCCUGCUCCCUUAGUCUAUAAAAGGGCGAGCAGGGACUCCACCAACA